rnacentral:rRNA from 1 species
GACGAACGCUGGCGGCGUGCUUAGCACAUGCAAGUCGAACGGAAAGGCCCUGCUUUUGUGGGGUGCUCGAGUGGCGAACGGGUGAGUAACACGUGAGUAACCUGCCCUUGACUUUGGGAUAACUUCAGGAAACUGGGGCUAAUACCGGAUAGGAGCUCCUGCUGCAUGGUGGGGGUUGGAAAGUUUCGGCGGUUGGGGAUGGACUCGCGGCUUAUCAGCUUGUUGGUGGGGUAGUGGCUUACCAAGGCUUUGACGGGUAGCCGGCCUGAGAGGGUGACCGGGCCACUGUGGGACGAGGAUACGCCCAAGCCGCCUACGGGAGGAGGAGGGGGGAAUAAUUGCACAAGGGGGGAAGCCUGAUGCAGCAACGCCGCGUGCGGGAUGACGGCCUUCGGGUUGUAAACCGCUUUCGCCUGUGACGAAGCGUGAGUGACGGUAAUGGGUAAAGAAGCACCGGCUAACUACGU